CGAACGCACGCGAAAGGUGCUUGCACCUUUCAAGUGAGUGGCGAACGGGUGAGUAACACGUGGACAACCUGCCUCAAGGCUGGGGAUAACAUUUGGAAACAGAUGCUAAUACCGAAUAAAACUUAGUGUCGCAUGACACAAAGUUAAAAGGCGCUUCGGCGUCACCUAGAGAUGGAUCCGCGGUGCAUUAGUUAGUUGGUGGGGUAAAGGCCUACCAAGACAAUGAUGCAUAGCCGAGUUGAGAGACUGAUCGGCCACAUUGGGACUGAGACACGGCCCAAACUCCUACGGGAGGCUGCAGUAGGGAAUCUUCCACAAUGGGCGAAAGCCUGAUGGAGCAACGCCGCGUGUGUGAUGAAGGCUUUCGGGUCGUAAAGCACUGUUGUAUGGGAAGAACAGCUAGAAUAGGAAAUGAUUUUAGUUUGACGGUACCAUACCAGAAAGGGACGGCUAAAUACGUGCCAGCAGCCGCGGUAAUACGUAUGUCCCGAGCGUUAUCCGGAUUUAUUGGGCGUAAAGCGAGCGCAGACGGUUUAUUAAGUCUGAUGUGAAAGCCCGGAGCUCAACUCCGGAAUUGCAUUGGAAACUGGUUAACUUGAGUGCAGUAGAGGUAAGUGGAACUCCAUGUGUAGCGGUGGAAUGCGUAGAUAUAUGGAAGAACACCAGUGGCGAAGGCGGGCUUACUGGACUGCAACUGACGUUGAGGCUUCGAAAGUGUGGGUAGCAAACAGGAUUAGAUACCCUGGUAGUCCACACCGUAAACGAUGAACACUAGGUGUUAGGAGGUUUCCGCCUCUUAGUGCCGAAACUAACGCAUUAAGUGUUCCGCCUGGGGAGUACGACCGCAAGGUUGAAACUCAAAAGGAAUUGACGGGGACCCCGCACAAGCGGUGGGAGCAUGUGGUUUAAUUCGAAGGCAACGCGAAAAACCUUAACAAGGGUCUUGACAUCCUUUGAAGCUUUUAGAGAUAGAAGUGGUUCAUCUUCGGAAAACAAAGUGAACAGGUGGGUGCUGGUCG
rnacentral:rRNA from 1 species